AUGAACGCUAGCGAUAGGCUUAACACAUGCAAGUCGACGGGCAGCACAAGGUAGCUUGCUAUCUGGGUGGCGACCGGCGCACGGGUGCGUAACGCGUAUGCAACUUGCCCUAUACAGGAGGAUAACCCGUCGAAAGACGGACUAAUACUGCGUAUGCUCACAACUUGGCAUCAAGUGGUGAGGAAAGAAAUUCGGUAUAGGAUAGGCAUGCGUCCCAUUAGCUUGUUGGUGAGGUAACGGCUCACCAAGGCAACGAUGGGUAGGGGAACUGAGAGGUUUAUCCCCCACACUGGUACUGAGACCCGGACCAGACCCCUACGGGGGGCAGCAGGAGGGAAUAUGGGUAAAGGGGGGCGACCCUAAACCAGCCAGGUCGCGUGAAGAAUGACUGUCUUAUGGAUUGUAAAUUUUUUUUAUACGGGAAAAACAAGGGUCACGUGUGACCCCCGGCAUGUCCCGUAUAAAUAAGCAUCGGCUAACUCCGU
rnacentral:rRNA from 1 species